CUUGAACUCAUGAACUGCAAGAUCAUGGCCUGAGCCAAAGUCUGACACUCAACUGACUGAGCUAUGCAGGCACCCCUCCCCUUGCCUGGUUCUGCUCUUGAUCUUGAGCUCUGACAGCUAUGGAACCUUGGGCAAGUUACUUGCCCUUGUCUUCAAGCCUGUUUCUUCAUCUGCCAACUGGGGAUGACAAUAAAAGUACCAACACUUGUUGGGUUAUGAGAAUUAACUGUGAUAAGCCCUAUAUGGCACAUUGUUUGGUGCCUGGCACAGAGUAAGCACUCUGUAAAUGGCAGCAAUUAUUUUUGAUGACAGCCGCAUGGUUAUAGCAUCCAUAGAACUCAGCACAUGACUGAAGAAAGUAAAAAAAAAAAAAAAAAAAAAAAAAGUCCAUGAAGUCACAUGGUUGUCACAGCCCCUGGUCCUCUCUCCUUCUGGACUUACUCUUACUAAUGCAACCUCACUUGUUGACUUGAAGGAAUGAAUGAACGUGCUGACUCUCUAUAUCUCUUUCCAGAAACUCCAGAUCACACAGCUCUGACGAUGGGAUAAUAAUUUAAGGAAGCAGGUGGCAUGAUCGAUGAAUUAAAGCUUCCCUGGAACCAACACAAGGCAAAUGACUACAGGAACAACUUCCCAGCACAAUUCAGACCGGCUCAAAUGAACUUCUGCCCCCCAAACUCAACAGCCAAUCAAUCCUAGUAUCAGCAGAAAAAAGACCUUGAAAUCCCAGUGAACUGCAGGAAAAGAUCAACUCCUACUUCCUAGCCAAGAACAAUGCCCUCACCCUGUGAACUCACAAAGCUCUCAGACUUCUCAACUAGUUAACAACAACAACAAAAAAAAUGUAAAAAGUGAACUGAAUCUGUUUAAUACAGAUUUAUUUAAUCUAAAUGAUGCAUCGGGAAAAAUUGAGAAUAAAUCCAAGCACACUCAUAAAUUUGCCAGUUUGAGAACAUAAUUAAACUUUUCUAUAAAGGAACUAAAAUACAUUUAUUAAUACCAAGAUUUUCAUGAUUGGAUCAUUGUAUUAAAUUCUAGAUUUGGAAGGGAGAUAGUCAUUUUACAAAGCAAGUUACCAUUAAAUGAAAUUUGAAAUAUCUAAUAGCAGUGUUGUGAAAUAUUUAUUUUUUUUUCAUUUUCUUUACCAAAGUAUAAUAUUUGUCAUAAAUAUCAUAAUUCAUAUCUCAUGUGGGUGCAGGCGCAUGUUACCAGUGAAAAUGUUCCAAACACAAAGCUUUAAAUGAUCACACCAGUAGAUGGUACAUUCCUAAGUAUUUCCCAGCUAUGGAAAACACCUGUUUCUUCUAUUAAUAGUUAGCUCAGUUUUCAGGCCGUGCAUUUAUUUGGAUAUAUCCUCAGCAUGAAGAGGA